rnacentral:rRNA from 1 species
AGUGAACGCUGGCGGUAGGCCUAACACAUGCAAGUCGAACGGCAGCACAGUAAGAGCUUGCUCUUACGGGUGGCGAGUGGCGGACGGGUGAGGAAUACAUCGGAAUCUACUUUUUCGUGGGGGAUAACGUAGGGAAACUUACGCUAAUACCGCAUACGACCUACGGGUGAAAGCAGGGGAUCUUCGGACCUUGCGCGAUUGAAUGAGCCAAUGUCGGAUUAGCUAGUUGGCGGGGUAAAGGCCCACCAAGGCGACGAUCCGUAGCUGGUCUGAGAGGAUGAUCAGCCACACUGGAACUGAGACACGGUCCAGACUCCUACGGGAGGCAGCAGUGGGGAAUAUUGGACAAAGGGCGCAAGCCUGAUCCAGCCAUACCGCGUGGGUGAAGAAGGCCUUCGGGUUGUAAAGCCCUUUUGUUGGGAAAGAAAAGCAGCAGGUUAAUACCCCGCUGUUCUGACGGUACCCAAAGAAUAAGCACCGGCUAACUUCGUG